GCUAAACAUCUAGCUUAAAUACAAAAAUUAAUAUAACAACAUAUAAAAACUUUAUAGAACAAAAAACUAUAUAAAUAAAACAUUCUUCCGCCCUAGUAUAAGCGAUAGAAAAGGCUCUAUAAGCUAUAAUAAUAGUACCGCAAGGAAAAGAUGAAAGAGAAAAUGAAAUAAACCAUUUAAGCCCAAAAAAGUAGAGACUAAUUCUCGUACCUUUUGCAUCAUGAUUUAGCCAGCCCCUUUAAGCAAAGAGCACUUUAGUUUAAUACCCCGAAACUAGGUGAGCUACCCCGAGACAGCCUACUAAAGGGCCAACUCAUCUCUGUGGCAAAAGAGUGAGAUGAUCUCCGGGUAGGGGUGAUAAACCUACCGAACCUAGUUAUAGCUGGGUGCCUAAGAAAUGAAUAAAAGUUCAGCCUCGCCCUCCUUAACUCACAAAAAGUUAUUACCACCAAAGAGCCCGAGAAACACGCGAGAGUUAGUCAGAGGGGGUACAGCCCCUCUGAACAGGGAUACAACCCUACCCAGGAGGUUAAAGAUUAUACUAAAAAAGAUUACUGCCCCAGUGGGCCUAAAAGCAGCCACCCAAACAGAAAGCGUUAAAGCUCAAGCAGACAACAAUCCAUUAUCUUAAUAAUUUUAUCCUAAACCCCUAACCAUAUUAGGCCAUUCUAUGCAAGCAUAGAAGCGAUACUGCUAAAAUGAGUAAUAAGAAGACACUUCUUCUCCUGGCCCAUGUGUAAGCUAGAACGGACUCACCACUAGCCAUUAACGAACCCACCCAAAGAGGGUAAUAUGCCUACAAAAAUAACCAAGAAAACAUCAUAUUAAAUAAUCGUUAACCCCACACCGGAGGGCCCACAAGGAAAGACUAAAAGAAAAGGAAGGAACUCGGCAAACACAAGCCUCGCCUGUUUACCAAAAACAUCGCCUCCCGCAAAAAACAUAUGGGAGGUCUUACCUGCCCAGUGACUACAAGUUAAACGGCCGCGGUAUUUUGACCGUGCAAAGGUAGCGCAAUCACUUGUCUUUUAAAUGAAGACCCGUAUGAAUGGUGAAACGAGGGCUUAACUGUCUCCCUUUUCUGGUCAAUGAAAUUGAUCUACCCGUGCAGAAGCGGGUCUAAUACUACAAGACGAGAAGACCCUUUGGAGCUUAAGAUAAAGACCAACUAUGUUAAUAAUUAAAAAACACCAAACUAAAUAGACCCUGGUCCCUAUCUUCGGUUGGGGCGACCACGGGAGAAAAACAAGCUCCCAUGCGGACAGGGUUAACCCUAAAGCCAAGAAAGACAUCUCUAAGACACAGAACAUCUGACCAUAUUGACCCGGCCAACCAGCCGACCAACGAACCAAGUUACCCUAGGGAUAACAGCGCAAUCCCCUUUCAGAGUCCAUAUCGACAAGGGGGUUU
rnacentral:rRNA from 1 species